rnacentral:rRNA from 1 species
GGCGUGCAUAACACAUGCAAGUCGAACGAGAAAUUUCCGCUUCGGCGGGAAGAGUAAAGUGGCGCACGGGUGAGUAACGCGUGGGUAACCUGCCCCCGAAUUCGGGAUAGGGUCGCGAAAGCGGCGCUAAUACCGGAUAUCGUCCCAGGGGCUUUGGUCUCUGGGAUGAAAGAUGACCUCUCCAUGGAAGUUGUCGUUCGGGGAGGGGCUCGCGUACCAUUAGCUUGUUGGUGGGGUAAUGGCCUACCAAGGCGACGAUGGUUAGCUGGUCUGAGAGGAUGAUCAGCCACACUGGCACUGAAGCACGGGCCAGACUCCUACGGGAGGCAGCAGUGAGGAAUUUUGCGCAAUGGGGGAAACCCUGACGCAGCAACGCCGCGUGAGUGAAGAAGGCCUUCGGGUCGUAAAGCUCUGUCAAGUGGGAAAAACGUCAGACGAUGAACAGUCGUCAGGCUUGAUGGUACCACUGGAGGAAGCACCGGCUAACUCCGUGCCAGCAGCCGCGGUAAUACGGAGGGUGCAAGCGUUGUUCGGAAUUACUGGGCGUAAAGAGCGUGUAGGCGGCAAGGUAAGUCAGGCGUGAAAGCCCUGGGCUUAACCCAGGAAGUGCGUUUGAAACUGCCUCGCUAGAGUAUGGGAGAGGAGAGUGGAAUUCCCGGGUGUAGAGGUGAAAUUCGUAGAUAUCGGGAGGAACACCCGUGGCGAAGGCGACUCUCUGGAC